GUGAUUGUUGUACCGUAAACUUUCAUUUGAGAGAUCUGUAUACAAAAGGAGCAUCAAAGAUUCUAAUGGCAAAGUUGUUGACAUUCUCAUACCAAGACUGGCAAGACAUCUAUGAACUGGGCUCAUCUCAACACUGUAGCCGAACCAAAUGCGCCAGCCAAACAGCAUGGAGCCGAUGUGAUGUGCAUUAGAAAAUGUCUUUAGAUGCCGCUUUAGAGCCAUUCUCAUGCAGUCAAGAGACAACAAGAAAGAGCAGCAAUAAU